UUGUGUAGUUCUACACGUUACCGUCCUCUCCUGACGACCAUUCAUAAUUUAACUCAAAUGUUAUUUGUGGAAAUAUGUUCAUAUUUGCGGUGCAAAGUUUGUUACAAUUUAAGAUGGAUAACGAUCGUUAAUGUAAUUUACGGUUAUUAGAACACCUGUAAAGCGGAGUGAUACAUGUAUAGUUAAAAGUCCAAGUGCUGUUGUUCUAUACUCCAGUCAAAUUACUGGUCAUGUUAUAAAUACUUGUGAACAUCAUUUUCAGGUCUUUCCGCCCUUUUCAUCGAAAGCAGUGGGAACGUUUUACUUGCGUUUGCGUUUAGUAACGUUCAAGAUGCUUUGACGGUGCGUUAUCUGCUGCGUUUUUAUGACUUUUUCAUUGAAACUGUUAUUGAGCCAUAUCAAUAGAUUGCACAGUCGCAGCCCUGAUUUCUGGUUGCUCUGUGGUAUUGACAGAUGCACUGAGGAAUAUAGUGUACAAUUCCUCCCAUCAUGUAAAGAGAAACCACCUUCAACACCUACUUGAUUGCAUCCGACCAGAUGAACAGCCAUCGGAGGAAAGCCAAGCACCACCGGAACACGACAACAUUCAACCCGAUAAUCUUCUAGCUAACUCCAGCAUCACUGAUCAGGAACUCCAUACAUCUGACUCCAAUGAAGGGCAAAGGGGCAUUGACCAACAUGGAGCUGUCACAGUGCAACAAAAAGGCGUGAAUGACAUUGUUGCUGGGGUACAGCAGUAUCAAUCAUCACUAUUGGACAACCUCAGGAAGCAGAUGGAGGCAGUGCUAAAGAAGCAUUCAGGAAGCACAUCAGGGAAACUUGAAAAAGAUGCAAUGGAUAUAUUUGACAAUUUCAUUGGGCCUUUUGCUGACGCUGCAACAACAUUUAGACAGGACAGUGUUAUUAAGAAGCAGUUUAGCGGUUUGGAUGCAGAGGAAAUUCACAUUGCUCGAACCAUAUACAGGAUGAAAUGUGGAUGCUCAAAAGACCUUUUCAUCAAAGACAAAUUAUUUUAUCAUGUACCAUUAGUCAAAAGUCUAGAACAGUUCUUAUCACAACCAAGGAUUUAGUAUAUGGUUGGAAAUGGACCCCAGAUGUGCAGGGAAAGGUUUAUUCAUGACAUUGUUGAUGGUGCUCUUCUAAAAUCACAUCCCUUAUUUUCAGAGAAACCAAAUGCAUUGCAGAUUGUUCUUUACAUGGACGAAAUAGAGAUCUGUAAUCCACUAGGAUCCUUAGCAUCAAAAAACAAGUUGUUAAUGGUGUACUACAUCCUAGGAAAUAUACAUCCAAAAUACAGGUCUAAACUGGCUGCUAUCAGGCUACUUGCCAUGGCAAGAUCAGCAGACCUCCGUCAAUCUGGUGUAGAUGUAAUAUUGACUAGAAUCAAGGAAGACAUGGAUGCAUUGUACAGUGGGGUUAAAAUGCUAACUAUUAAUGUAGAGAAAACGAUAUCUGGUCUCUCUCUCUGGAGACACCCUGGCACAACAUGAACUAGCAGGGUGUAAAGAGGGUGUGGGCUUUGCCUACAGUAAGUGCAGACACUGAGUGUUCUUUUGAGGACAUGCAGUCACACUUCAAUGAAGAUGCAUAUACUAACAGGACAUUGGAGAAGCAUGUCAGACAGUGUGAGGAAAUAGAAAAGGCACAGACUGACUUGCUUCGCAACAACCUUGAGAACAAGAUAUGGGAUGAAUAGACGGAGCAAGUUAGUUAAAUUCUCAGCCUUUGAUAUCAUGCAACAAACUCCGCAAGACAUUAUGCAUGUAAUUCUGGAGGGCAUAGCCCCAUUGGAAAUCAAAUGUGUUUUGAAUCAUCUUGUUGUGUCAGGACAGAUUGAUCUGGACUCAGUGAAUUCUGCUGUUCUUGGUUUCCCUUAUUCCCCUCUAGAUGGUAGAGAUCGGGCCAUCCCCAAUUUCUGUUAGUACAUUAACGUCAAGUGAUGGUAAACUAAAACAGUCAUCUGGGCAAAUGCUUGUCCUGCUAAGGAUAUUGCCAUUUGUUUUGGAGAGUUUGGAAGUCAAUGCAUACAGUAUAUACGACUGACAAUUGAGCUAAUAGAGAUUGUACAGAUAGUAUUUGUUCUUUCCAUUGUGACUGUGUCUAGGUUGAAGUUACUCAUUGAAAAUCAUUUGAAGCAUUGGAAGGAGCUUUUUCCAGACCGCAGUGUUACACCUAAACAGCAUUAUAUGAUACAUUUGCCAUCACAGAUAAAGUCAUUGGGUCCAAUGGUCAGACAUAUUUGUAUGUGUCUAAACAUUGUUUCUUUAAACAAUGGGCUUCCAAGCUCAAUUUAAAAAAAAAUAUUUGUCCAUCUUUGACCAAUCAGAACCAAAUAUAUGAAAGCUGCCAAAAUGUAGACAGUUCAAUGCACCCAAUUGUUUCAAAUGAAAGGGAGAUGGGACCUGUAUCAGAGGUUAAAGAUCUACAAUAUUUGUGGAAAAUUGAGGGACUUCCUAGGUUUCAAUGAAGUAAACCAUGCUGUAUCCGUCAAAUGGCUUGUAAUUAAUACAACUCAGAAGUCCAUGAUCUAUGCCAAAGUACUGAAUGGUAAAAUGCCAAUAUGACUGGUUAAAAACAUUUUUCUUGUUGAUUCUAGGCUUUAUUGUUUGCAAUAUCAACCAUUUCAAAAUAUACGCUUUGAUAGAAGCAUCAUGGCUUAUCAAGUUGAGGUCCCACACUUUGCACAGGCCACUGAGUUAGUGGAUGCUGAAAAGCUGGUUGAUUUUACCUCAAUAUUACACAAUUGGCAACAAGAGCCAAACUUAUGGACAAGUCAAAUACCGUCUUGGGGAAGUAAUAGAAUUGUACAACAGUUCAAAUGACUCAGUGUGUUCCCCAGAUAUCAAUAGUGUACUGUCUUUGUUCUGUACUGUAUUUUGCCUACAUGAUUGCUGUGCUGUGUGUAAGAUUGACAAUAAAACAGUGAAUUCCA